AACAGCGCGCGGGCGUGGAAAGCGGGUGUCCCGCGGCCCGGUCAACCCUUGCCGGAGCAGCGCGCACACUUGGAAGGCCCCCGGAUUUUAGUCGUGCAGGCACGGAGCUCUACAUGACGACAAACACAAAAGUUACUCAAGAAUACAAGACAGAAGAAGUGGAACAAAAUACCAGGUAAAUUUCGCCAUGUCUCACCCUGAGAUGCAGACUGCAGCAGGGAUUCACUGGCAAGCACGAAGCCCAGUCAAGGAAGGAUCGGGGUGUGCAUUCAUGUUUUGCACGCAAGAAGAUUGAAAAACAAGCAUUGAAUGCAGCAGCAUCGUGAAAGCAAAGAAAAAAUAUGAA